rnacentral:rRNA from 1 species
CAACGACUCUCGGCAACGGAUAUCUCGGCUCUCGCAUCGAUGAAGAACGUAGCGAAAUGCGAUACUUGGUGUGAAUUGCAGAAUCCCGUGAACCAUCGAGUCCUUGAACGCAAGUUGCGCCCGAAGCCAUCCGGCCGAGGGCACGUCUGCCUGGGCGUCACGCA